rnacentral:rRNA from 1 species
AGUGAACGCUGGCGGCAGGCCUAAUACAUGCAAGUCGAACGGCAGCACAGUGGAGCUUGCUCCAUGGGUGGCGAGUGGCGGACGGGUGAGGAAUACAUGGGAAUCUGCCCAGUCGUGGGGGAUAACGUAGGGAAACUUACGCUAAUACCGCAUGCGCCCUUCGGGGGAAAGCCGGGGACCUUCGGGCCUGGCGCGAUUGGAUGAGCCCAUGUUCGAUUAGCUAGUUGGCGGGGUAAAGGCCCACCAAGGCGACGAUCGAUAGCUGGUCUGAGAGGAUGAUCAGCCACACUGGGACUGAGACACGGCCCAGACUCCUACGGGAGGCAGCAGUAGGGAAUAUUCGACAAUGGGCGCAAGCCUGAUCCAGCCAUGCCGCGUGAGUGAAGAAGGCCCUCGGGUUGUAAAGCUCUUUUGUCCGGGAAGAAAAGCAUCGGGCUAAUACCUCGGUGUUCUGACGGUACCGGAAGAAUAAGCACCGGCUAACUUCGUG